rnacentral:rRNA from 1 species
GUGGGGAAUAUUGCACAAUGGGCGCAAGCCUGAUGCAGCGACGCCGCGUGAGGGAUGAAGGCCUUCGGGUUGUAAACCUCUUUCGCCAGUGAAGCAGGCCAGGCCUUAUUCGCCUGGUUGACGGUAGCUGGAUAAGAAGCGCCGGCUAACUACGUGCCAGCAGCCGCGGUAAUACGUAGGGCGCAAGCGUUGUCCGGAAUUAUUGGGCGUAAAGAGCUCGUAGGCGGCUGGUCGCGUCUGUCGUGAAAUCCCCUGGCUUAACUGGGGGCUUGCGGUGGGUACGGGCCGGCUUGAGUGCGGUAGGGGAGACUGGAACUCCUGGUGUAGCGGUGGAAUGCGCAGAUAUCAGGAAGAACACCGGUGGCGAAGGCGGGUCUCUGGGCCGUUACUGACGCUGAGGAGCGAAAGCGUGGGGAGCGAACAGGAUUAGAAACCCCAGUAGUCC